AAAUGCAACAAGUGAAAUAAAUGUACCAAAUGUUCCUUAUUAUAUGAUGUUUAAUACACGUUUGCACAGACGCAUUAAACUGUAAUCGAUCUUCUUUAUUGAUAAUCAUAAAACUGAAGAAACAUCUGGCAUUGUUAUUUUGUUUGUUUCUACAUUAUUCGAGCAUCGGAUUCAUGCAUAAUUUUCUCAUCAUCCUAAACGAAGACUUGUUUCAACACGAACAGGAAUAACUCCAGGUGUUUCAACUGAGAUCUGCGGGAUAAAACAUUGUAAAAUGAUGUUUAUUAAAGAAGAGAGUGAGGACAUGAGUUAUCCAGAAUCAUGCAGUUCAAAUGUCAUGAAAAAUGAAGAUACUGAGGCACAAAGAGAGCUGAUGGGCGUGAAAGAGGAAAGUCAAGGACUGAAUGAAGUGAAGGAGGAGAAACACAAUCCGGAUCAGACACUUUAUAGUAUAAAAACUGAACAAAACUCUUUUAGCGAGUCUCAGACUGAAAAGAAUUGCCAAAAAAAAAAAAUGAAAAGAACAAGAACCAAACAUUCUUUCACCUGCCCUCAGUGUGGAAAGAUCUUCUCAGUUAGAAGUCACCUUCAGAGUCACUUAAGAGUACACACUGGAGAGAAGCCUUUUACCUGUCCUCAUUGUAUGAAGAGUUUUGCAGAGAAAUGCAACCUUAUUAGUCAUGUGAGAAGUCAUACUGGAGAAAAGCCUUUCACCUGCCAUCAGUGUGGAAAGAAUUUCACACGUAACGCAAGUCUUAAAAAGCACAUGAUAAUUCACACUGGAGAAAAGCCUUUCAAAUGUCAUCAGUGUGGGAAGAAUUUCAGAGAGGCAUGUAGUCUCAAAAAUCAUUUGUCUUUUCACUCUGAAGAAAAGUCAAAUAGCGGUGAUCAGUGUCGCACAACAUUUUCUUCAAGAUCAGUCUUAAGAACAUGCCAGAAAAUUCAUGUAAAUGAGAAGCCUUACUUAUGUUCAAUUUAUGGAAAAAGUUUUUCACAUGUACACAGUUUUAAAGACCAUCAGAGAAAUCACACUGGUGUGAAAGAUCAUGUGUGCUCUGAGUGUGGUAUGGCCUUUCAUAAAGCUUACGGCUUGGAACGCCACAAAAGAAUUCAUACUGGAGAAAAACCUUUCAAGUGUUCACAUUGUGGAAAGAGUUUCACUAUUUCUGGAAACCUGAAAAAACAUGAAAAAGUGCAUACUAGAGAGAGGACGUACCACUGCACUUCAUGUGGGAAGAGUUUCAUUAGGUCAGAAAACCUGAAAGCACACAUGAGAUUGCAUACUGGAGAGAAGCCGUACCACUGCACUUUAUGUGGAAAGAGUUUCAUUAGGUCAGAUAACCUGAAAGAACACGAGAGAGUGCAUACUGGAGAGAGGCCGUACCACUGCACUUCAUGUGGGAAGAGUUUCAUUACGUCAGGGAACCUGAAACUACAUGAGAGAGUGCAUACUGGAGAGAGGCCAUACCACUGCACUUCAUGUGGGAAGAGUUUCAUUACGUCAGGGAACCUGAAACUACAUGAGCGAGUACAUACUGGAGAGAGGCCGUACCACUGCACUUCAUGUGGGAAGAGUUUCUUUACGUUAGAAAACCUGAAAGUACAUGAGAGAGUGCAUACUGGAGAGAGGCCUUACCACUGCACUUCAUGUGAGAAGAGUUUCAUUAGGUCAGGAGACCUGAAAGCACAUGAGAGAGUGCACACUGGGGAGAAGCCGUACCACUGCACUUCAUGUGGGAAGAGUUUCAUUAGGUCAGAUAACCUGAAAGUACAUGAGAGAGUGCACACUGGAGAGAAGCCGUACCACUGCACUUCAUGUGGGAAGAGUUUCAUUACAUCAGGAAACCUGAAAAUACAUGAGAGAGUGCAUACUGGAAAGAAGCCAUACCACUGUACUUCAUGUGGGAAGAGUUUCAGCAACUCAAGCACUCUACUGACUCAUAGGAAAAAUCAUAGACCAGGGUUGUCACAGUGAGCCAAGUUAAUAUUUAUUUUCCUGGCAAAUAGUACGAAAUUCAGAACAAGAAAAAACAAAAUUGAAUUUCUCUCAAUAGAACAAUUACAAUUAAAGAAGAAGUAUAUUUAAUCUACAAUAGUGCCACCGAAUAGAAUUGCAAAACAAAAUGCUUUCAAAACAAGUUUCUGAAUACGUCCAUUCUUUGCUGUUAAUAAAACAAAGAGAUAGCAAGUGCUCUAAACAGAGAGCACUUGUGAAGAAAGAAAAGUUAAGUCUAGGUUGUAAAACCUUGGGAAUGAGUUUUGUGAGGAACAUCCUGCUGCAAAAUAAUAUGUCUUGUAAGGACACACAAUUCGUUCAUAACAAUGAGGAGGCCAUGCUUCUAGUUGAGUGUACUUUAACACCAACUGGGCAAGUCUUACCCUGCGACUCAUAAGCCAGGGUAAUUGCAUCGACAAUCCAGUGAGAAGUCUUUUGUGCAUCCUCUAUAGCAUAUAAAGAGCUGAUCAGACAGUCUGAACUGGCGGGUGCGCUCAACUUAUGGGUGUAACGCCCACACAGGGCAUAAAAAAUGUAAUAAUUGUACCUCAUCUGAAUUAAAUGGAGCAGGGAAGAAAGUCUGAAGGUGAACCGCCUGCGCUUUGAAGGGUGUCGUCAGGACCUUGGGUACAUAACCCUUCCUGAGUUUGACAGUGGCUCUUGAAAGACUGGGGCCAAACUCGACAUGAAUUGUCCACUGAUAAUGUAUGCAUGUCACCUACCCGUUUUACUGAGGCCAGAGCCAGCAGUAUUGCAGACUUAAUGGAGAGCAUGCGCAAAUCAAUAGAGUCUGUUGGAAACUCAGAAUUGAAGACCAGGAGACUCGGAGUACGUCUUCAGCAGAAUUAUUUAUUGAGAACAGGUGCUGUGUGGAACUGCAGUCAUCAAGUCUAAAACAAUGAGCUAUACAUUGACGUUUUAAAGAUAUAUAGAGGACUGUCCUUUCAUGAGAAGACAAAGCACUCAGUUGAUGACUGUAAACAAAGUGUAAAAAGGAAGAAGUUGUAGGAUCCCUCACCAGAACCUGAAGUUUCACCAACCCUUAAUCCAAUCAGCAUAACUAUGUCACUCAGGCUACUUCAUUAUCAUAGAGAUAAAAGAAGGUCCACACCUAAGCCAUUCUUGAUUGACUCACAAAAGGGUGAACAGGAUCUGACAGAGACCUCCACUUAGCAACUCUGUUUAACAGUGUAAUACAGCUGAUGUUUGCUUCUCUAAACUACCAAGUCUGAUACACGUAUAAUAAAAAAACGUAUUCUUAAUUGUAUAUUCCCACAAGUCCAAAGGCUCGAAGGGGGGCCCUGCGAGAGCUUUUAGGACUAAAGUUAAGUCCCAUGUUGGGACUGUAGCCAGCCGAGGUGGGUUUAAUUGUUUUGCUUCUUUAAGGAACUUUAUGAUUAAAUCAUGCUUGCCUAUAGAGGUGCCGGUUUCACGUGUGUGAUACGCAGAUAUAGUUGCCACAUACACUUUGAGCAUUGACAAGAUGAGUCCUGAGUCUAAUGGCUCUUCUAAUUUCUUGUAUGGGGGAGUUUUCUGGGUCCUUGCUGUGUGAGAGACACCAAUCAGUGAACACCUUCCAUUUUAGUGCAUAGAGGCAUCUUGUGCAUGGUGCUCUGGCUUGUAAAAUGGUGUUCAUGACUGAAUGCGUCAGUUCUGGCGGGUGUAGUUCGUUCGUUCAGGGGCCACACAUUCAGGUUCCACAUCUGGGAAUGCCAGAUUGUGCCUUGCACCUGAGAGAGGAGAUCCCUCCUCAGUGGUAUUUCCCAUGGUGUGCUGUACAGCAUCUCCAUCAUUUCCAGAAACCAUGGCUUGUUGGGCCAUUUCGGUGCAACUAAUAGAACUGUUUCCUUGUCCUCUAGGACUUUGCCUAUGACAGAGUGGAUCAGGCAUACCGGAGGAAAUGCAUAUUUGCAUUUCGCCGGCCAUAUAUGUGCCAUUGCGUCCCUUCCCAGCGGGGCUUGGGACUUUGAAUAACAUAGGGGACAGUGGGCAUUCUCCGCUUUGCCAAAUAUUUCCCAAAUCCUCAGUACAGUUUGAGGAUGAAGUCGCCAUUCGCCCUGCAUCUCUCCUUAGCAUGACAGUAGGCCUGUGCCAUAAUUCAGGCUGCCUGGGACAUAUGUCACUCUCAGGGAGAGAUGAUGCUCGCUCCAUAGGAUGAGGCGACACAUCAUUCUUGACACUAGCGGUGAAUGAAUUCCGCCUUGGCUGUUUAUAUAUGCCACAACUGUUAUGUUGACUGAGCAAACCAGGACAUGACAGCUCACUAUUUCUGACUGAAAGCCUUUAAGGCUUGAAUUACAGCCAAUAGCUCUAAGCGGUUGAUGUGCCACGCCCUCCUCGCACCUGUCCAGGUGCCAAAAGUUGGGCAUCCAUCGCACACCGCCCCCAAACUUUGUUGCAAGCAUCCGUGGUCACCACUUUCUGCCUGAUAACUUGGGAUUCGAGUACCAGAGGGCACAGUGGGUAUUCUCCACUGAGGCAAAAAGAUCCUCAAUGCAGUUUGAGGGUGAAGUCUCCUGAAUUCCACCUUGGCAGUUUAUAUAUGUCACAAGUUUUUUCUGAGCGAACCAGGACAUGACAGUUUAACAUGUCUUACUGAAAAGCAUUUAAAGCUAGAAAUAAAGCUGGCUCAUCCAGUUGGCUUUAGGCACUGGGUGAGAGCUUGCCCCAGCACGACACUUCACUGGUAAAAUGCAGGAGCUGUCUUUGGUGCUAAAGGUGUCACUGCACGAGUGCACCGUAUAAGGUUGCGUGCCAGGACUUGGAUAGUUUGUUAUGAAUUGUCUGGGAUGCUGCCGUUUGAUGGCGUCCGGACUGCUGGAACCAUUCAUCAAGGCGAGACUGUUCAGGUUCUUCUGGGGGAGACCAGUCAGGGUGAAGCUCUCCCCAUUGCCUGAUGCAGCGAGAGACAUGUCACGUCAUCAUCCCCAGCGUCAGAUCCGCCAAACGAGAUGAGGCCGCAAGCUCCUUCAGAGGGCCGGAGCUCAUCUCAAACAUAGCGUACUGGGAAACAUGCGCUCCGUGGAGAUUGAGGAGCUUGUGGGGCAUAUGCCGGGACGAAAUCCACCUCAAAUUCAUCCACGAGGUCGACCUCAUGGCUCCGCUGUGCCUCCUUGUGUGAACCCUCAAGUAUCACAGUAGAGGCGGUUGGGAGGGUGAGACUCUGCAUGGGAGCAGCCAGACAGGAAACACUCAUGCAUGUCUGAUGGUGGGAUAUGUCUCUCGCACAAGGAACACUUAAGGAAGGACAUCUUGAAAAAGACGCGAACACGUAAGUGACUCAUAGAUAUUUUAUAUAUAUAUAAUUUAUAUUUAUAUCUCACAAAAACAAUUGCUUUUUAAAAGAAUACUGUACACCUACCUAUGCGCUGCGGAUAAUCGGGAUGCUGAGGUCCGAUCACCAGCGAAGCGUCAAUCUGUGAGGCGGAGAUAUGUUCUCCAGAGCACUGCAGGGGAGUGGAGAGUCUUUUCGCUGCCGUGAAGAUUCCAUCCGCUGACUCGUGUGUAUUGGCAGCGAAGGGUAGAGGGCUUCGAUAUAAGAGAGGAGUGCUGUCUUGAAGGAAGAAAUUCUGAGGAAAUGGUUUCUGUGCACCUGUUUUUUUAGCGCCAAAGCAGGCGGGGCUCAAACUCCACAGCCAGUAUUAGAAUAUUGGCGUUAUUGUAGAGAGGUUUCAAAUAGGUUGUGUAUGAAGGCACUCCCCAUAUGCGUUAAUACGCAAUGUCAAGUGAACUGAGUCAUAAGGGAACUUGGAAUAUGUCAUAGACAUCAUGACAUGAGGGUACCUGCACAGUUUUGGCACAGCACCUCCUAUGAAGGCACUCCCCAUAUGCAUUAAUAAACGCAAGUGAGUGGUGGUGGCGUAAUGGGCUAAAGCACUGCACUGCUAAGCAGAAGGUUGUUGGUUCGAGCCCCACAGCCAACGCCAUUGUGUCCUUGAGCAAGACACUUAACUCCAGGCUGCUCCAGGGGGAUUGUCCCUGUAAUAAGUGCACUGUAAGUCGCUUUGGAUAAAAGUGUCUGCCAAAUGCAUAAAUGUAAAUGUACUCAAUUCUGACAAAACAGAGGUUCAAAUUAUUGGACCAAAAAAAUAUAAUUUGGCUCUAGAUGGAUGUACUGUUACAUCAUCUUCAACAGCAAAGAACUUAGGUGUUAUAUUUGAUACCAAUCUGUCCUUUGAAAAUCAAAUUACAAAUGUUUGUAGAAAAGCAUUCUUCCACCUAAGAAAUAUUGCUAAAUUAAGCAUAUGCUGUCUGUUGCUGAUGCCGAAAAACUAAUUCAUGCGUUGAUUAUUGUAAUGCAUUACU